UAACCCGCCACGCUUAGCGCGUGGGGAGACAGUGUCAGGUGGGCAGUUUGACUGGGGCGGUCGCCUCCUAAAGAGUAACGGAGGCGCCCAAAGGUUCCCUCAGAAUGGAUGGAAAUCAUUCGCAGAGGGUAAAGGGACAAGGGAGCUUGACUGCGAGACUGACAAGUCGAGCCGGGACGAAAGUCGGGCUUAGUGAUCCGGUGGUUCCGCAUGGAAGGGCCA
rnacentral:rRNA from 1 species